rnacentral:lncRNA from 13 species
AGCCCUUGCACAGAUGUCAUUGUUGCUAUCGUGCUGGAGUUUGAGAAGCCUUCUUCCAAACAUGAUUUGAUUUUAAGAAUAGAAUUAAGCCUUGAAAUAUGGUGAAGACUUCCUUUGUGUGAAAGUUUGGACCUGCAAUUAAUUGACUAGUUUCCUCUGUUUAGAAGAGAACAUUUUUUUCUAAACUUCCCUCUAUUUUCUGGAAGCUGAAAGAGGACAAUGCCAGGACCACAUCUGGCAUCAACCAUAUAGAAAAGGGCAAAGUGGAAGGGGAUUUGGAAGCUUCUUUAACAACUUUGCAGGGAAAAAUCUUUUCUCCAUGUGAGAAAGAAGAUUCCCGAGACUCUGGGCACAUUGAAGUCAUGUGCUCACUAUUUCUGGGACAGGGAGUCUCUUAAAGUGUGAUUCUCAGGCCGAUAGCACUGGCAUCACGAUAAGUGUAUUAGAAAUGAGAUUUCAAGGACGUUAAACUUACCACUGAAUCUCUGGGAACGGAGCUUAGGAAUCUAUGUUACAGCAAGGUUUUUA